UACGUAGGGGGCAAGCGUUAUCCGGAUUUACUGGGUGUAAAGGGAGCGUAGACGGUAUGGUAAGUCAGAUGUGAAAGGCAGGGGCUCAACCCUUGAACUGCAUUUGAAACUAUCAGACUAGAGUGUCGGAGAGGUAAGUGGAAUUCCUAGUGUAGCGGUGAAAUGCGUAGAUAUUAGGAGGAACACCAGUGGCGAAGGCGGCUUACUGGACGAUAACUGACGUUGAGGCUCGAAAGCGUGGGGAGCAAACAGG
rnacentral:rRNA from 1 species